rnacentral:rRNA from 1 species
UACAGAGGGUGCAAGCGUUGUUCGGAAUUACUGGGCGUAAAGAGCUCGUAGGUGGUUUGUCGCGUUGUUCGUGAAAACUCACAGCUCAACUGUGGGCGUGCGGGCGAUACGGGCAGACUAGAGUACUGCAGGGGAGACUGGAAUUCCUGGUGUAGCGGUGGAAUGCGCAGAGUAUCAGGAGGAACACCGGUGGCGAAGGCGGGUCUCUGGGCGAGUAACUGACGCUGGAGGAGCGGAAAGCCGUGGGGAGCGAACAGGA